CUCACCCUUCCCUUCCACACCAUUUUUAUCACCCAUUCGCGUAUCUGCCAGGGGCGCAGUCACAGGAAAGCAACGUCCGCCAUCAGGGACCCCCCACCAUCCAGGCCUUCUCCCGUCUCGCUGCGGCCAGCAGGAAGCAGCCACAGGCGAGGUCCCAGCGGACUGGUGACUUGCUAAUGUUGGACCUCUAAGAAGGAGGGAAAGGGAAAGUCCUGGGAACCUCAGACUGGUAGUCUAUCAUACGCACAAUAAAUGUCUGAAGAACCAACACAUUGAAAAGAGUUGUCCAGUUGUAAGACCAAGGAACUGAUUGUGGUCUGAAGUCGAGGGAACACACGCCAACCGUCAUCGAGGGAUUGGCAUUGGAAAGGGUGUCAACAUUCCUUGGCGUCAACAUCUCCGUGGAUCUAUUCUGGGCCCAACAUAUGGGUGCAAUUACAAAUGAGCCAUGCCAGCAUUAGAAUUUUGAGGAGAUUUACUACAUCAUCAAAGACUCGGAAGUUUCUAUGGAUGUACCACGGAGCGCAUUCUUAUCGGUUGCGUCACCGUCUGGUACGGACGGGCCACCGCACAGGAUCAGAAAAAGCUAAAGUAAGUUGUAAAUCAGCCAUCUCCAUUAUGAGCACUGGCCUCCCCAGCAUCCAGGACAUCUGAAAAAGGCCAUGCCUCGGAAAGGCUGCAUCCAUUGUUAAGGACCCCCAUCACUCAGGACAUGUCCCCCUCUCAUUGCUACCAUCAGGGAGGAGGUACAGGAGCCUGAAGGCACACACACAAACAUUUUAGAAACAGCUUCUUCCCCCUUUUGCCUUCAGACUUCCAAGUUGUCAAUGAAUCCAUGCACACUAUCUCAGUAUUUUGUUCUGUUUUUGCACUAAUUUAUUUUUUAAUGUUUCUUAUUGUAGCUUAUAAUUUAUUGUAAAGUUUUAUGCAUUGCCCUGUAAUGCUGCUAUAAAACAACACAUUUCACCACACAUGCCAGUGAAAGUAAACCUCAUUCUGAUUCUGAAUGUGAUAGUGAAAUUAACAGACUGAACUAUCCAGGAAUAAAUCAUGUUUCACUGGGUCUAGGAAGCAAAGUAGUGGUGGAACCAGCUGGAGUGUAAGCAGCUUGUGGAUAGACACGCAAAUAUGAAGGGAAUGGAGGGAGAUGGCUGAUGCACAUGACAAACUGAACAGUUUUGGUCUCCUUAUCUAAGAAGAGAUGUACUGGCAUUAGAGAGGGUCCAGAGGAGGUUCACAAGGAUGAUCCUAGGAAUGAAAGGGUUAACAUAUGAGGAGCAUUUGAUGGAUCUGAGCCUGGACUCGCUGGAGUUUUGAAGAAUGAGGGAGGAUCUCCUUGAAGGACUGAAUGUUGAAAGGCCUAAACAGAGUGGUUGUGGAGAGGAUGUUUCUUAUAAUGUGAGAGUUUAGGACCAGAGGGCACAGCCCCAGCAUUGAGGGACUUCCAUUCAGGACAGAGAUGAAGAGCAAUUACUUUAGGCAGAGAAUCUGUGGAAUUCAUUACCACAGGCAGCUGUGGAGGCCAAGUCACUGGGUACAUUCAAAGCAGAGGUUGAGAGGUUCUUGAUUUGUGAGGGUUAAAAUGUUAUGGUGAGAAGGCAGCAGAAUGGGGUUGAAAGGGAACAUAAAUAAGUCAUGAUGGAAUGGCAGAGCAGGCUCGAUGGGCUGAAUGGCCUAAUCCUGCUCCUGUGUCUUAUUUAGUAUAAAUUGGUCCAAGAAGGACCACUACCUGCCUCAAUGACCCAGAGUCAGGGCUUUAGGCUUUAGCUCUUGGUAGGGUCGCCCAUGUCAAACAGGUCAAAGGGUGGAGUCCAGACAAAGAGCGGUCCACCAGUCCUCCAGGUCCGGGGGUUCCGCUCAGAGCCAACAACCCUGACCCCUUAAACAAAAUUGUUAGGGAAACAGCAAUGAAGAAUGUUUCUACAUCCGAGUGUGACGGUCCUCCCACGUGCCCACCCGGAACCUGCGUGACCGAGAGGAAGCUACAGGGCCAGAGAUAGAAGACCUUGGUUGUCGCUCUCAACGCCAGCGGCGUAACAGGCAGCGAGUAAGAAUGGGUAUCAAGGUCGGCACGACACAGUGGGCCAAGUGGUCUGUCCAAUUCCGCUCGAGCGGGGUGCUCACUAGACUGAUGAAUAAAACAUUAUCCUCCCACAUAAAUAUGAAAUGCGGAAAUAUUGACUAACACUUAAAACCCUCAGCAACCACCCAGUUACACCAACAAAAUCAGACGCUCUGCCAGCUGCCAAGCUGAAAGCGAUUUCCCCACUCGGUUCCGGCUCCUGUGCAGAUUUUUUUCUAACAUUUUCCACUAUCCGCCGCCGGGCUUUUAACUGAAGUAAAGCCAGGUUGCGGGAGCGUUAUCACUCCCGUGCCAGCUAAUCCGAAUUGGCUUCCUGGAACUUCCAGAACUGAUUUUAAAGUGCUCUUACUUACUUUUAAA